rnacentral:rRNA from 1 species
GACGAACCGUGCGAACGUUAUUCGGAUUCACUGGGCUUAAAGGGCGCGUAGGCGGCGAUUCAAGUCUGGGGUGAAAGCCUUCGGCUUAACCGGAGAAGUGCCUUGGAUACUGGAUCGCUCGAGGGGGAUAGGGGCAUGCGGAACUUCCGGUGGAGCGGUGAAAUGCGUAGAUAUCGGAAGGAACGCCGGUGGCGAAAGCGGCAUGCUGGGUCCCUCCUGACGCUGAGACGCGAAAGCCAGGGGAGCAAACGGG